rnacentral:rRNA from 1 species
UACAGAGGGUGCAAGCGUUAAUCGGAAUUACUGGGCGUAAAGAGUGCGUAGGUGGUUAGGUAAGUUAGAUGUGAAAUCCCUGGGCUCAACCUAGGAACUGCGUUUAAAACUGCUUAGCUAGAGUAUUGUAGAGGAUAGUGGAAUUUCCAGUGUAGCGGUGAAAUGCGUAGAUAUUGGAAGGAACACCAGUGGCGAAGGCGACUAUCUGGGCAAAUACUGACACUGAGGCACGAAAGCAUGGGGAGCAAACAGG